rnacentral:rRNA from 1 species
GACGAACGCUGGCGGCGUGCCUAAUACAUGCAAGUAGGCCGCAGUUGCGAACGGGUGAGUAACGCGUAGGUAACUGCCUAUGAGCGGGGGAUAACAAUUGGAAACGAUAGCUAAUACCGCAUACUAGUAGAUGGACCUGCGUUGUAUUAGCUAGUAGGUAGGGUAAUGGCCUAACUAGGCGACGAUACAUAGCCGACCUGAGAGUGUGGUCGGCCACACUUGGAUUGAGACACGGCCCAAACUCCUAAGGGAGGCAGCAAGAGUGAAUCUUCGGCAAUGGGGGGCACCCUGACCGAGCAACGCCGCGUGAGUGAAGAAGGUUUUCGGAUCGUAAAGCUCUGUUGUUAAGGGAGCGGUACUUAACCAGAAAGGGACGGCUAACUACGUGCCAGCCGCCGCGGUAAUUC